rnacentral:rRNA from 1 species
UAGCUGCAUCAUGGCUCAGGAUGAACGCUAGCGGCAGGCUUAAUACAUGCAAGUCGGGUAACAUGAGAGCUUGCUCUUGAUGACCAGUGGCGCACGGGUGCGUAACGCGUAUGCAACCUACCCUUUACUGGAGGAUAGCCCGAAGAAAUUCGGAUUAAUAUUCCAUGGUAUCAUAAAACAGCAUUGUUUAAUGAUUAAAGAUUUAUUGGUAAAGGAUGCGCAUGCGACAUUAGUUAGUUGGUGAGGUAACGGCUCACCAAACGAUGAUGUCUAGGGGUUCUGAGAGGAUGAUCCCCCACACUGGUACUGAGACACGGACCAGACUCCUACGGGAGGCAGCAGUAGGGAAUAUUGGUCAAUGGGCGAGAGCCUGAACCAGCCAUGGCCGCGUGUAGGAAGACGGCCUUCCGGGUUGUAAACUACUUUUAUAUAGGAACAAAAAGGUCAUGCGUGACAAACUGAGUGUACUAUAUGAAUAAGCACCGGCUGACUCCGUGCCAGCAGCCGCGGUAAUACGGACAAGCGAUGUCCGGAUUUAUUGGGUUUAAAGGGUGCGUAGGUGGCGUGUUAAGUCAGUGGUGAAAGCCUGCAGCUCAACUGUAGAGGUGCCAUUGAUACUGACAUGCUUGAGUAUGGACGAGGUAGGCGGAAUUUGUGGUGUAGCGGUGAAAUGCAUAGAUACCACAAAGAACACCGAUAGCGAAGGCCGCUCUGGACCAUAACUGACACUGAGGCACGAAAGUGUGGGUAGCGAACAGGAUUAGAUACCCUGGUAGUCCACACCGUAAACGAUGCUCACUCGAUGUAUGCGAUACACUGUAUGCGUCCAAGGGAAACCGUUAAGUGAGCC